GCUCCUUUGUGGGAGUUGUGUCUCAUGGAGGCCGUGUGGGGUGCGGGUCGGGGCCGAGGCCGCUUGGGGAGGUGAUGGUGCCCUGAGGGCGUUGAGGGCAGCUCUCUCCGAGCAGUCCUAAUUGACCCCAUGUCUAUAGCAGUUCCUGAAAGGAGGAAAAAAGUGUUUGAUUAUUGCUGGGUUUUGCCACUUGAGCUUAUGGAGAAGUGAUUUAAAGCAGUAAAAUCUGCAGAUGUGGUGUGGAAAAUCUGCUUCCCUUUUGUCCUCUGACAGCCACAGGUGCUUCACAUGUGGAUGGUUGUCUUCAUUCUGCUGUAACUUCAACUGCAUCUCCCCUAAUCCAAGGCUGUGACUUUCCAAAAGGAGCAAAGCAGUUACACAGAGGGUCCUCUGUUGUCUUAUCUACAGUAUCAGCAGAAGGGUGGUUCAGAGAACUGCAGGAAGAAGUAAAUGGCUUUUACUUGAUACAGAUGGAAAGGACUGUGCUGGGAUAGAAGACAGCAGAAGACAAUGGGAAAGUCUGCAGCCCUUGAUGAGUGCGGAAAGGACAGCAGAGAAGGACAUAUCCAGUACUUUACCCUGGGCUUCCACUUCCAAGACGGCAACUUGUGUUGGUGUAGCUGCGUCCCUUACUCUGAGGUUCUCUUCUUCAGGAAGGUGAUGUCCUGAGGCUGGAGAU